UACGGAGGGUGCGAGCGUUAAUCGGAAUUACUGGGCGUAAAGGGUGCGUAGGUGGUUGAUUAAGUUAUAUGUGAAAUUCCUGGGCUUAACCUGGGGUGGUCAUAUGAUACUGAUUGACUCGAGUAUGGGAGAGGGUAGUGGAAUUUCCGGUGUAGCGGUGAAAUGCGUAGAGAUCGGAAGGAACACCAGUGGCGAAGGCGGCUACCUGGCCUAAUACUGACACUGAGGCACGAAAGCGUGGGGAGCAAACAGG
rnacentral:rRNA from 1 species